CCUACGGGUGGCAGCAGUGGGGAAUAUUGGACAAUGGGGGGAACCCUGAUCCAGCGACGCCGCGUGAGUGAAGAAGUAUUUCGGUAUGUAAAGCUCUAUCAGCAGGGAAGAAAGAAAUGACGGUACCUGACUAAGAAGCCCCGGCUAACUACGUGCCAGCAGCCGCGGUAAUACGUAGGGGGCAAGCGUUAUCCGGAUUUACUGGGUGUAAAGGGAGCGUAGACGGCGAUGCAAGUCUGAAGUGAAAGGCGGGGGCCCAACCCCUGGACUGCUUUGGAAACUGUAUGGCUGGAGUACAGGAGAGGUAAGUGGAAUUCCUAGUGUAGCGGUGAAAUGCGUAGAUAUUAGGAGGAACACCAGUGGCGAAGGCGGCUUACUGGACUGUAACUGACGUUGAGGCUCGAAAGCGUGGGGAGCAAACAGGAUUAGAUACCCCAGUAGUC
rnacentral:rRNA from 1 species